GUAGGCCGUUGCUGCUACCUUGACGUGGUGGUCGGACUUUCCUAUCGUAAUGAACCAAUUAAGCUAUACUGGCUGGAACAAUCAUUCAUCAAGGUCCUACCAUGCCAGACUGAUCGGCUGAAGAGCGGUAAGACUAAAAGCAGC
rnacentral:ribozyme from 1 species